CCCCUCUCAGGAUUGCACCUGGAGAGUUUCCAGUAAUCUACCAGUCUACGGGAGGGAGAGUCAAGCAGGGGCCUGUCCAUUCCAUUCCUAGCUUGGCCAGUGGCUAGCAAGUGGAAGACAAUCUGCUACAAGU